GACGAACCGUGCGACCGUUGUUCGGAAUCACUGGGCUUAAAGGGCGCGUAGGCGGGCCCGCGAGUCCGGGGUGAAAGCCCCCAGCUUAACUGGGGAAGCGCCUCGGAUACCGCGGGCCUCGAGGGGGGUAGGGGCGUGCGGAACUUCCGGUGGAGCGGUGAAAUGCGUAGAUAUCGAGAGGAACACCUGCGGCGAAGGCGGGUUGCUGGGCUGAUACUGACGCUGAGGCGCGAAAGCCAGGGGAGCGAACGGG
rnacentral:rRNA from 1 species